rnacentral:tRNA from 1 species
AUCAGGAUAGCUUAUAGAAAGUGUUACAUUGAAGAUGUAAAGAAAAUGUUAAUCAUUUUUUGAUA